UUGAAUGAUACACAUUUAAUUGUGUUCCUCCAGCGACAGUGUUUCUGGUCGUACAGUGGCAUAUUAAUAAUAAAGUGAAAGAAGUGUUUUCAGAACACUACAUAGGAUUUACUCGCCACUGAGAGAGGUUUCAUUUGAAUUUGGGGUUGUGGGGGUGCCUGGAGCCUAUCCCAGGGGACAAGCUUUCUAGGCUUUCGCCAGCUGGAGCCUUGUAAACCCCGAUGCUAACAUGGCCACACUUUGGCCACUGCCAGGCUGAAAGGUUCCCUUCCUCCAUAAGACAGGUCUUGGAAAAAUUCAAAGGCUUCAGACCUCUCCUGAAUGCAAUAGAGGAGGAGGAAGAAUGUAAGGGUUGUGCUGAGAAUGAUGAGAAAGAAGACUAUGAGGAACAUUAUGAAGAGAAGGAAGUACAUGAGAUUGACUCUCCAGAUGAUCCAAUUGUUUUCCUUAGUUUAUCAGAGAGACAGGGCCAAACCUCCCGAACCAUGUCUAUCAAAUGCACCGACACUGAAGUGGAAAUGGAGAAAGAGGAAGUUUUUUACUCUCUAGAGGAGGAUCACAAUCAAAGCAAAUGUAAACCUUCAAAUUCAAAUCAGUCCUUCCAUGGAGAUGUUAAUAGUAACAAGAUUAAUAGUAACCUUAAAAUUAUUAU